CGCUGAGGAGCGAAAGGGUGGGGAGCAAACAGGCUUAGAUACCCUGGUAGUCCACCCCGUAAACGUUGGGAACUAGUUGUGGGGACCAUUCCACGGUUUCCGUGACGCAGCUAACGCAUUAAGUUCCCCGCCUGGGGAGUACGGCCGCAAGGCUAAAACUCAAAGGAAUUGACGGGGACCCGCACAAGCGGCGGAGCAUGCGGAUUAAUUCGAUGCAACGCGAAGAACCUUACCAAGGCUUGACAUACACCAGAACACCGUAGAAAUACGGGACUCUUUGGACACUGGUGAACAGGUGGUGCAUGGUUGUCGUCAGCUCGUGUCGUGAGAUGUUGGGUUAAGUCCCGCAACGAGCGCAACCCUCGUUCUAUGUUGCCAGCACGUAAUGGUGGGAACUCAUGGGAUACUGCCGGGGUCAACUCGGAGGAAGGUGGGGAUGACGUCAAAUCAUCAUGCCCCUUAUGUCUUGGGCUUCACGCAUGCUACAAUGGCCGGUACAAAGGGCUGCAAUACCGUAAGGUGGAGCGAAUCCCAAAAAGCCGGUCCCAGUUCGGAUUGAGGUCUGCAACUCGACCUCAUGAAGUCGGAGUCGCUAGUAAUCGCAGAUCAGCAACGCUGCGGUGAAUACGUUCCCGGGUCUUGUACACACCGCCCGUCA
rnacentral:rRNA from 1 species